UACGUAGGGGGCAAGCGUUGUUCGGAAUUACUGGGCGUAAAGGGCGCGUAGGCGGCACGACAAGUCGGGAGUGAAAGCCCGGGGCUCAACCCCGGAAUGUCUCUCGAAACUGUCGAGCUAGAGUGCAGAAGAGGCAACUGGAAUUCCCAGUGUAGCGGUGAAAUGCGUAGAUAUUAGGAAGAACACCAGUGGCGAAGGCGGCUCACUGGCCCGGUACUGACGCUGAGGCGCGAAAGCGUGGGGAGCAAACAGG
rnacentral:rRNA from 1 species